rnacentral:rRNA from 1 species
GUAGGGUGCGAGCGUUAAUCGGAAUUACUGGGCGUAAAGCGUGCGCAGGCGGUGAUGUAAGACAGUUGUGAAAUCCCCGGGCUCAACCUGGGAACUGCAUCUGUGACUGCAUCGCUGGAGUGCGGCAGAGGGGGAUGGAAUUCCGCGUGUAGCAGUGAAAUGCGUAGAUAUGCGGAGGAACACCGAUGGCGAAGGCAAUCCCCUGGGCCUGCACUGACGCUCAUGCACGAAAGCGUGGGGAGCAAACAGGAUUAGAUACCCUGGUAGUCCACGCCCUAAACGAUGUCAACUGGUUGUUGGGAAUUUGCUUUCUCAGUAACGAAGCUAACGCGUGAAGUUGACCGCCUGGGGAGUACGGCCGCAAGGUUGAA